rnacentral:rRNA from 1 species
UACGUAGGGGGCGAGCGUUGUCCGGAGUUACUGGGCGUAAAGCGUGCGUAGACGGUCAUGUAAGUCGGAUGUGAAAGCCCCGGGCUCAACCUGGGAAUUGCAUUCGAGACUGCAAGGCUUGGGUGCGGAAGAGGGAAGCGGAAUUUCCGGUGUAGCGGUGAAAUGCGCGAUAUCAGGAAGAACACCAAUGGCGAAAGCAG